GUUUCUUUUAAAUUCUGUAGCAACUUUUGUGAUUUUUCAGUGUUAACAGUGGUAUUUUUUGCCAACAAUAGUACAUGAAGGAAUCUUCUAGAAAUCUAGAUUCUAUGUUCCAUGAGCCAUUUUGUAAAUGGUUUUAGAAUCAAGGAGCACAGCAACUCUGGAUCUCCACUUUUCUUCCAAAUAAGAGGGACUUCUAAUAGUAAAUAUGAAGGAGGAUAAUACUCAGAAAUAGGAAUAUAACUUGAGGUGGAGAUUUCUGGACAGGAGAUCUUGUGAAAAUGCUUCAGGCAAUUUGAUGAGCCAUCUUCUGGAGCCUCUGGUAGCUUUGCCAUCAGUGUCUGUGGCCUGAGACGCACACCAGGAUUAGAUCUUGGAGCUUCUGAUGCUGGAGCAGUUGCUGAUGAUUCUGCCAGGAUAGGUGCUGAAUGGGGUUUGAGAGCAGCAUCCAGACAGUGGGGAGGAGGUGGUGGUUCUAUUGGAUGAUUUAGAGAAAGAGUUUAUUAACUGAGACAGCAAGUGGGAAGGGGAAGCUUGAAAUUUGUUGUGGGAAGUUAGGGAAUUGAAUUUUCAGGGAUAAUGAGCGCAAUGAUGGAAGAUGAGAUGCUUAAAUUACAUCGUUAAUGGACGUAGCUGGAGGCCCUGAUUUUGGCUUUUAUAUGUACUGUUCAGCUGACCACUCCCACUGGAUUUAAAUAAUGUGUGUGCAAAUGCACCCUACAUAAAUAAUCAAGAAGUAUAAGAUUUUAAGGUAGGGUUAUAUUGUUGGAGCUGGAAAAUGUCAGGUGACAAGGGUUUCCUUUUGUGCAGCAUGAACUGAUGAAGAACUAAGGAUGAAGAUGACCUCUAAUUCUACAUCCACUUAUACUUGUCAAGAGAUUAUUACUAUUAUUAUUAUUUUUGAGGAAGAUUAGCCCUGAGCUAACUACUGCCAAUCCUCCUCUUUUUUUGCUGAGGAAGCCUGGCCCUGAGCUAACAUCCAUGCCCAUCUUCCUCUACUUUAUACGUGGGACGCCUGCCACAGCAUGGCUUUUGCCAAGCGGUGCCGUGUCUGCACCUGGCGUUGGAGCUGGCGAACCCCGGGCUACAGAGAAGCGGAAGGUGCGCACUUAACUGCUGCGCCACCAGCCGUCCCCUGAAGAGAUUAUUAAACCAUAUGCUAUUAAACAAAUACUGUUUGAGAACCUGUGUCUGCUGGAUGCAAUGGGAAAUACAAAGAAAUAAAUAUGUCUUACUCGAAGGAGUGUUGCAAUUUAAUUGGCAAAUGAAAACGUGAAAAGAAGUUAAAUAAGUUGUAAAAGAGUUAAAAGAGUUAAAAAGAAGAUACAGGAAACUAAGAAAGAUGAUGCAUUAUCAAUUGCAAAAUGAAUGCAGCAGGCCAUAGUGUUUGAGCUCAGAGGAGCGUGAUAACAAGUUGAUUGGUUUGGGAAGGCUUACAAAUAAUGGUAGGACUCGAACUGCACCUUGAAGGAUGUGAAUCUUUGUCUAGGUGGAGAAGGCUGGAGAGAUCUUAACAAGCAGAAGAAAAGGUCUGAGCUCCGGGUAUGUGCUGGAGGUGGAGGAUUCAUAUAGAGAAGAAACUUAAGAGCCUUAUCGUGAAAGGCCCAAGAAGACAGGCUUAGGACUUCAGACUUCAUCUUUUAGGCCAGGUGUCAGCAAGUUUUCUGUAAAUAUCUUAGGCUUUGCAGGCCAUGUAGUCUCUGUCACAACUCCUCAACCCUGCCAUUGUAGCAAGAAAGCGACUGUAGACAACACAUAAACAAACGAGUGUGUCUGAGUUCCAAUGGGCCAUAGUUUUCUGAUCUGUCUUAGACAAUGGGGAACAUUAUUCCUUUCUGCUCAGGAGAGUGGCAAGGUGAAAGAAAUGUUUUCCAAAGUGAUCUGUGAAGUGAUAUAGCAUCGGAGGAGUGAGGAUAAUAAUAAUAAGGAGCCAGGAAGACGGGUUCAAAUUUGUUCCUUUUAAUGAGUCUUUGUUCUGUUUUGAGUGUUGGCACUCUUUUUUAUUUUUAAUUGCAUUGAUUAUACGAGUAAUUCAACCUGGUAGGUGAGGAAUAAAUAAACACACUUGGCAGAAGUUACAACUUUUUAAAUUGGAAGGAAUCUUAAGAGAGCCUUUAGUAAAUCCCGUCAAUUUCUGGAUGAAGAAUCAGUCCAGAGAGGGUACGGGGAUUUCCUGCGCUCACACCACUAAUACACGGGAACCUGCAUCUUAAGUCGUGAAUUCAGACUUAAAUUUGGAUUUAAAAUCAGAUUAAGAGACGGUUUAUGGAAUUCAAGGCGGAGUAUGACAGGAUAACAUAUGAUAACUAACUAUAGGGGAGUAAACAAGGGAAAGAUAUCCAUAGUAUCAUUAAAGAUUCCAGUCUUGGGGCUGGUUCCAUGGCUGAAGGGUUAAGUUUGCACACUCCACUUUGGUGGCCCAGGGUUUCGCUGGUUCAGAUCCUGGGUGCGGACAUGGCAUCACUCAUCAGGCCAUGCUGAGGUGGUGUACCACACAGCACAACUAGAGGCACUCACAACUAGAAUAUACAACUAUGUAGUGGGGGGCUUUGGGGAGAAGAAGGGGGAAAAAGAGAAGAUUGGCAACAGUUGUUACCUCGGGUGCCGAUCUUUAAAAAAAAAAGAUUCCAGUCUUGGUGACUGAGAAAUCAGUUGAUCCCUUUGUUAGAAAUGGAGAAGCCAAGAGGAAAAGCAUCUGUUAAGGGUUGAAUUGUGUCCCCCUAAAAGGUAUGUUCAUUUCCUAACACGUGUUACCUAUGAAUGUGAACUUCUUUGAAAAUAGAGUCUUUGCAGAUAUAAUCAAAUUAAGAUGAGGUUAUUCUUGAUUAAGGUGAGCCCUAAUUCAAAAUGGCUGGUGUCCUUAUAAGAAAGCAAAACAGAAAUAGAGACACAUACGCACAGGGAGAGCACCAUGGGAUGACAGAGGCAAUGAUUGGAGCAAUGCUGAUGAGUUUACAAGCCAAGGAAUGCCAAUGAUUGCUAGCCAAAUCAAAAGCUAAAAGAAAGGUAUAGAGCACAUUCUCCCUCAGAACCUCCAGAGAGAGCAUGGCCCUGAAAACACCUUGAUAUUGGACUUCUGCCCUCCAGAACGGUGAGGAAUAAAUUUCUGUUGUUUUAAGCCCCCCAGUUGUUGGCACCUUGGCAGCCAUCGGAAAGUAAUACAGCAACUUUUGUUGGGGAGAGGGAAACAGUGAAUUUACAGAGCCAUAUUAUUUGUAAAUAUAUAAAUAGGUGUGUCAGGAAUGACAAUGGAAAUGUAGGAUUAUAUUUGCACAGAGGGCCUUGAGAAUGAUGUGCUUUGGCAAUUAUCUCUUUGGUGGUUCAAAACCAACCUUUGAAGUCGAUUUUAAAGAGAAAAUGUGUAAAAAGAGAAUUAAAGGUAAAGGACUUUGGGUUUCAGAAAAAUCGGAAAAGUAGUGGCCACUGACAUGUGAAAAUAUCAAGGCUGAACAUUUUGUAAAAGCAACAUGAGGACCAUUUCAAAAAGGAAGUAGCCAAUAGCGUGGCGUGAUUGAAGACGAUCUGAGGAAACGGACUGAAGAAAAAGUAUGACUCUAUCCAGAAAUGCUAGUAGUUCUUUGCAUUCACACAAUGCUUUACAAUUUAUAAUGCAUUUUUACAUUCAUUUUCUUAUUUAUUUACCACAACAUUGAGGGACGAUAUUAUACUUAUUUUGCAGCUCAGCACAUUCUGGAACAGAGAAGUUAAAUUCUUAGUUGAAGUGAUGCAGAUUCUGAAUGAUGAGGCCAAGAUGUGGACCUAGAUAUUCAGACUCCAGAGUUAGGCUCUUUCUAUGUAAAAAUGGAAUAUCUUCUUUUAUUUCUUUUAAUAAGCUCUCACUCUCACUAGGUAGAGACUAAUGAUUACCAAAAGGUGGCAAUCAACUUUUCUUAAUGUUUUAAACGGCUUGCUGUACAUUCAAAGAUUUCCUCAGUAUAAUGUUCAGAAAAUUCCCACAGAGGUAAAAUACUUUGGGAAGAUCUUUUAAGGACCUCACAGGAACAAUGGAGUCCAGCUCUAGUCUAUGAAAACUCUGCUUACAUGAGAACCUCCAGACACACAUUUUGUACAGGAGAGGAGUGAGGGACUGGAUGUUGUAAUGAACAGAAAGUGAUCAGAUUUUGUUACCAUUGACGUUUGGUGGAAAUAUAGAUGUCUAUAUUUAGUAUGUUCCAUUUUUGUGUAAGAUGACCAUGUAUGUGAAAGUUUCUUCAAGAAGUGAAUUAUUUUUCAAUAUAGAAUGAUUAAACAAUAUGCUUGCUUUGUAGCCUGGCACUAAAUUUUACCUGACUGUAAUUACUUCAAUCCAUUAUGAGCUUUUUGAGGUGUUAAUAAUCCUUGUGCCCAUCAUUUUAUUGUUUUCACUAUCACUUUCCUUCUGUUUUUACUUUUAGUUUAUAUCUUUUGUCUCUAUUUAAUUCAAAUCUCCGUUUAUAUCUGCUGUCUCUCUCAGAUCCUGUUGUCCUUCUAUACUUGUCUUCUUUAUCUUUCCCUUUGUUUCUGAGCAUUUCCCUUUCCCCAUUUUGGCUCUUU
ensembl:lncRNA